CUUUAUUGAUCUGCCCGCGAAGACCGUUUCAGGCAGCAUCUCUACGUCCUUUAUUCGUGCAGUAGAUUUAUUUCGCAUUAUUUUCACUUUCUAUGCUUGACUCUUUACUCUUCCAGACAGAGACCAAAGUGAUCCGUUUUCGGGGAAUAAUUGCCGUGCCCAUUGGCUGAGAUCCGAACAGUUCCGCGAGUUGAUCAUCCGUCGAUAGCCCAUCUUUUUCCCUCCGACAAACGCCAAUGACAAAGCGUUACCAAGAAACCUCGGAAGUAGUAAUUCUCCACACCCGUGCAAUCACACCAAAACUGAUAGGCAUCCCCAUACAUUGAUGAGCACUGAUUCACAAAACACAUACGUGAUGCAGCAUCUUCACUUAAAACUCCAGAGAAGGUUCCUAAACCCGUUGACCAACUUUUCAAGCCCUAAUUUCACUUUGUUAGUCUUCACAAUUAACACUAGAUAGUUUCGAAAAAAAAUUAGAUAUGGCUUAGAGUUGUAGCAAUACUCCAACGGCCGGCUGUUUUGGAAAUCAAAUUGCAGCAGUUUAGGGACAACCACUCUCGAUGGCCGGCCAUCCAGAGUUUAAACACACGAAAAACAUAACUAAAUAUCUCUUUCCUCUGAGUAUACGUGCACUCCGAUACUAACCAUCCCACCGCAUAAAAAUAUAUUAAUUUCAUGGUCGCAUUGCCUGCUUGUGGCGAAUCCUAGACCUAUACCUGUCCUUUAAUCCA